UCAGGACGAACGCUGGCGGCGUGCUUAACACAGUGCAAGUCGAACGGGGGUAUAUUGGAAGGUUCGGCCUGGAAGGUGAUAUCGAGUGGCGGACGGGUGAGUAACGCGUGAGCAAUCUGUCCCAGACAGGGGGAUAACACUUGGAAACAGGUGCUAAUACCGCAUAAGACCACGGCAUCACAUGGUGCAGGGGUAAAAGGAGCAAUCCGGUUUGGGGUGAGCUCGCGUCCGAUUAGCCAGUUGCGGGGUAACGGCCCACCAAAGCGACGAUCGGUAGCCGAUCUGAGAGGAUGACCGGCCACAUUGGAACUGAGAGACGGUCCAAACUCCUACGGGAGGCAGCAGUGGGGAAUAUUGGGCAAUGGGCGAAAGCCCUGACCCAGCAACGCCGCGUGAGUGAAGAAGGCUUUCGGGUUGUAAAGCUCUGUUAUAGGUGACGAAGGAAGUGACGGUAGCCUAUAAGGAAGCCCCGGCUAACUACGUGCCAGCCGCCGC
rnacentral:rRNA from 1 species